UAAAGAUUUUAAGGGCGUACGGUGGAUGCCUUGGCGAUAUCAGCCGAAGAAGGACGCGGUAAGCUGCGAUAAGCUACGGAGAGGUGCAAGCAACCUGUGACCCGUAGAUUUCCGAAUGGGGGAACCCGGCAGUGGUUAUGCACUGUCACCCAUAGCUUAGACUAUGAGGAGGGCACCUGGGGAACUGAAACAUCUAAUUACCCGGAGGAACAGUAAUCAAACGAGAUUUUCUUAGUAGCGGCGAGCGAACGGGAAAGAGGCCAAACCGGAGCGGGCAACCGCACCGGGGUUGAGGACAGUCAUCAAGUGUAAAUGAGGUAGAAGAAUCGAGCUGGAAAGCUCAGCCGCAGAAGGUGAAAGCCCUGUAAUCGAAACCUUGCAUACAUGGGACUGUAUCCAGAGUACCACGAGACACGUGAAACCUUGUGGGAAGCAGGGGGGACCACCCUCCAAGCCAAAAUACUGAUAUCGACCGAUAGCGCAUAGUACCGUGAGGGAAAGGUGAAAAGAACCCCUGGCGGGGAGUGAAAGAGAACCUGAAACCGUAUGUCUACAAACAGUCGAAGUCUGUAUAUAUAUCAGGACGACGGCGUGCCUAUUGAAGAAUGAACCGACGAGUUACUGUUGCUAGCGAGGUUAAGUGGAAAACAUGGAGCCGCAGCGAAAGCGAGUCUGAACAGGGCGUUCAGUUAGUAAUAGUAGACCCGAAACCGUAGUGAUCUAUCCAUGGCCAGGUUGAAGCACAGGUAAAAUUGUGUGGAGGACCGAACUCGUGAGCGUUGAAAAGCUUUGGGAUGAGUUGUGGAUAGGGGUGAAAUGCCAAUCGAACACGGAGAUAGCUGGUUCUCCCCGAAAUAGCUUUAGGGCUAGCCUCGAGGUAGAGAGUAUAGGCGGUAGAGCACUGAUCGGGCUAGGGGCCAUACCGGUUACCGAACCUAGUCAAACUACGAAUGGCUAUACUUAUACUCGGGAGUCAGACAGUGAAUGAUAAGGUCCAUUGUCAAGAGGGAAACAGCCCAGAACACCGACUAAGGUCCCAAAUGUUACACUAAGUGGCGAAGGAUGUGGAGUUUCCAAAACAACCAGGAUGUUGGCUUAGAAGCAGCCACCAUUUAAAGAGUGCGUAAUAGCUCACUGGUCGAGAGACUCUGCGCCGAAAAUGUCCGGGGCUAAAGUGUAAAACCGAAGUCGUGUCAUAUGCAGCAAUGUAUAUGGGUAGGGGAGCGUUCUCAUCGGGCUGAAGCAGUACCGUAAGGAGUUGUGGACUGAUGAGAAGUGAGAAUGUCGGUAUGAGUAGCGAAAAGAAUGGUGAGAAUCCAUUCCACCGAAAGCCUAAGGGUUCCUGAGCAACGAUCGUCGUCUCAGGGUAAGUCGGGACCUAAGCCGAGGCGGAAAAGCGUAGGCGAUGGACAACAGGUUGAAAUUCCUGUACCGGUGUGAAUCGUUUGAUCGAUGGAGUGACACAGUAAGGUAGGUCAGCACGCGAUUGGAAGAGCGUGUUUAAGCAGGUAGGUUGAGCUAUAGGCAAAUCCGUAGCUCUAAAAGCUGAGAUGUGAUGACGAGCGACUAGCAAUAGUCGCGAAGUGAUUGAUCCUACACUGUCGAGAAAAGCUUCUAGGUAGAGACACAUCGCCCGUACCAAAACCGACACAGGUAGGCGGGGAGAGAAUCCUAAGGUGCGCGGGAAAACCCUCGUUAAGGAACUCGGCAAAAUGCCUCCGUAACUUCGGGAAAAGGAGGACUCAUGUAGUGUGAAGAGCAGAAGCGCUUGGAGCAUGAAUGAGUGGCACAAGAGAGGCGCAAGCGACUGUUUACCACAAACACAGGUGCCUGCUAAAGCGAAAGCUGAUGUAUAGGUGCUGACACCUGCCCGGUGCUGGAAGGUUAAGAGGAGGGGUUAGACUUCGGUCGAAGCUCUGAAUUGAAGCCCCAGUAAACGGCGGCCGUAACUAUAACGGUCCUAAGGUAGCGAAAUUCCUUGUCGGG
rnacentral:rRNA from 1 species